rnacentral:rRNA from 1 species
GAGACAGCAGCCGCCGCGGGAAUACGGAGGGGGCUAGCGUUGUUCGGAAUUACUGGGCGUAAAGCGCACGUAGGCGGCUUUGUAAGUUAGAGGUGAAAGCCCGGAGCUCAACUCCGGAAUUGCCUUUAAGACUGCAGAGCUAGCAGGUGAGAGAGGUGAGUGGAAUUCCGAGUGUAGAGGUGAAAUUCGUAGAUAUUCGGAAGAACACCAGUGGCGAAGGCGGCUCACUGGCUCAUACUGGACGCUGAGGUGCGAAAGCGUGGGGAGCAAACAGGAUUAGAUACCCGAGUAGUCCCUGUCUCUUAUAC